rnacentral:rRNA from 1 species
UACGGAGGGUGCAAACGUUGCUCGGAAUCAUUGGGCGUAAAGAGCGUGUAGGCGGCCUGGUAGGUCAGCUGUGAAAACUCGAGGCUCAACCUCGAGACGUCGGUUGAAACCACUUGGCUAGAGUCCGGAAGAGGAGAGCGGAAUUCCCGGUGUAGCGGUGAAAUGCGCAGAUAUCGGGAAGAACACCCGUGGCGAAGGCGGCUCUCUGGGACGGUACUGACGCUGAGACGCGAAAGCGUGGGGAGCGAACAGG